UCUCUUUUUUUCAUUAUGGCAUUCAAUAUCUCACCCUUCCUCCCAUAGGGAGAGUGGAUAGAGAGAACUUUUGGACUACAAUUCCCAUCAUCCACAAAGCUGUGGCUGAUGGGUGUUGUAGUCCAAAGCAACCCAGAGGGUUGAACCUGUGGACAUCCAGGGAAGCUGAAUUUUGGAAGGUUCAGGACAGAUAAAAGAAAGCGCUUCUUCAUGCAGCCCACAGUUAAACUACAGAACUCCCUCCCACUGGAGGCAGCGAUGGCCAUCAACUUGGAAACUCCAGGAGGGGAGAGCUACUCUUGUGCUCAGGUCCUGCUUGCUGGUUUCCCAUGUUUUUAGCUCUUUUAUGUUUUUAGCUGUUUUUUACCUUUAUCUGUAAGCUGCCUUGAGUCCCUGUCAGGGGUAAAACCGGGGUAUACAUAAAUAAAAUUGUUGUCAA